rnacentral:rRNA from 1 species
CGGUGCCAUCAGCGACCAUUCGUCGACGCCCGUCGUAUAGCGCGAGCGCAUCCAGAAGCACAGCGCGAACGUGAGGAACGCGGCCGUCGCGAUGUAGCGCGGAUCGGUGCGCGACAGGAACUUGCC